rnacentral:rRNA from 1 species
CCUGAGACUAUAAGUCUCCUGAAGGAACGUUGAAGACGACGACGUUGAUAGGCCGGGUGUGUAAGCGCAGCGAUGCGUUGAGCUAACCGGUACUAAUGAACCGUGAGGCUUAACCUU